rnacentral:rRNA from 1 species
CGUGGGAAACCUGCCCCAUAGUCUGGGAUACCACUUGGAAACAGGUGCUAAUACCGGAUAAGAAAGCAGAUCGCAUGAUCAGCUUUUAAAAGGCGGCGUAAGCUGUCGCUAUGGGAUGGCCCCGCGGUGCAUUAGCUAGUUGGUAAGGUAAAGGCUUACCAAGGCGAUGAUGCAUAGCCGAGUUGAGAGACUGAUCGGCCACAUUGGGACUGAGACACGGCCCAAACUCCUACGGGAGGCAGCAGUA